GCACCCACCUCAUUCCCGUUCCUUGCUAUGCAGUGCAGGUCUGGGGGCUCUUGGUGCUACAGCACAGCAGUGGAAAUCCAGAUGAGUUCUUCUUYCCUGGUGUGGGACUCAUCUCUACACCUCUGCAACACCA
rnacentral:snoRNA from 1 species